rnacentral:sRNA from 1 species
AGGAUGACCCAGAUCCAGGUGGUCUUGAAUGGCCCUAGAAAGAAACUAUGGAGAAACUACUGCAGAUGUGGACCUCCAUGUAUCCCAAAAAUGAAAUCUCUGAGGCAAAUGCAGACCAUGGUAAGGAUGAGAAGUGCCAACCAUGAGAUCUCAUGAAGACAAUGUCACCAGCUGGCACCACAGGCCAAGAAGACAAGAAUUCUAGUAGACCCUGUGCCUUAGAAGUAAACUCACUAAAGUAGUAGCAGAGAGCAGACUGUCUACAACUAGAGGAGAAUGCAUCCUUCUAGAAUCCUUCUGAACUCUGGCUGGCUGAUUCAACUCAGCUAUGCUGGCUCAAACUCCUCUCCAGCUGACUGAUUCAAAUCAGAUCCUCUUGGCUUCUGACUGAAUUGCUCUGCUUGGGGGAAAAAUGUCUCUGAACUUCACUCCAUUCUCUCCCCUGCACUGCUCUUAAAUAUCUUCUCUUCUACUGGAAGGCAGCAGCAGCAUAAGCAGCAAAGAGUCUCUCAGAGAAAUUGAAGCUUGUGAAUUCAGCCAGGCCAACUGUGCAAUGAGUUUCAGGAUCCUCCUAACUCCUCCCUCAACCCUCUGCAUUGUGAGGUGAGGAUGUAGAGAGUUCUCCAGGCGUUUCCUUUGUGAUCCUGUGUCAAGCUCAACUGAGACAUCACUCCCUUGGGGAAGCCUUUCUGGCCUCCCAAACCUAAGCCCUUGCCUCACUAUCCAGAGCCCCCAGGACUCCCAACAAGGGUACCUGUCCCACUGCAGGAAGGGCAUCUGACUUCUGCCUCUCCACCUGCUUUAGGCUCUACACGAAAAGAAUGGACGCCUUCUCUCCCACUGCAGUCCGCGGCUUACCACAGGGCCUCUGCACAUCAGACAUUCCAAUACCAUCUCUCGAUUGCACAGGGACGAGAUGCAGGAUGCACACCUCCCAAAAUGUAGUGUUUAUUUGUAUAGCCCUCUGAGGCUGUGCACAGCGCUCAGAACAACAGUAAAAGCCAGGCGGCCAGAUAGGCUUCGAGGAGCAGUGCGAGUCCCCUGAAGGAAGCACAAAGCAUCAGAAGAGAGAGAGAUGGAGUCCUGGAGCUUCUGUUACAGUGAGGAACACUGCAGUAGGGAGCUAUUAUUUGGGGACUUUCACAGGGAGCCUUUCUCAGAAACCACAGCAACAGCAGCAGCAAUAACCAAGAUCAGCAGUGCCUUAGAAGCAAAAGCACAUCCUGUUUCCUUUGUGGGAUGAUGUCACCUUACAGGUGAGGCAGGUACGAGAUAGAACGAGGCCUGUCAUUGGAGGCAAAGGAAG